AGAUCAGCCGGUCUCCGAAUGACUAGGGUUUAGUUGAUCAUGGCUCAGAAUCCACGCUGUAAGCGUGCCUAACACAUGCAAGUCGAACGCGAAAGUCCCGCAAGGGAUCAGUAGAGUGGCAAACGGGUGAGUAACGCGUGGGUGACCUGCCUUCGAGCGGGGGAUAACGUUCCGAAAGGGACGCUAAUACCGCAUAACAUCCUGCCUUUUAAGAGGUGGAGAUCAAAGCCUGGGACCGCAAGGCCAGGCACUCGAAGAGGGGCCCGCGUCCGAUUAGCUAGUUGGUGGGGUAAUGGCUCACCAAUGCUCCGAUCGGUAUCCGGCCUGAGAGGGCGGACGGACACACUGGGACUGAGACACGGCCCAGACUCCUACGGGAGGCAAGCAGUGGGGAAUUGUUCGCAAUUGGGCGCCAGCCUGACGACGCAACGCCGCGUGGAGGAUGAAGAUCUUCGGGUCGUAAACUCCUUUUCGAUCGAGACGAACGGCUUCCGGGUAACAUCCGGGAAGAGUAGACGGUACCGAGAAGAAAGAAGGCCCCCGGGCUAAACUCCGUGCCCAGCAGCCCGGCGGGUAAUUACGGGGGGGGGCCAAAGCGUUGUUCCGGAAUUACUGGGGCGUAAAGGGCUCGUAGUUGGCCAACUAAGUCAGACGUUGAAAUUCCUNCGUUNACCGGGNAACAUGGGUUUUGUNAAUACUGGAUGGCUUGAGUUUUGGGACGCAAGGGGGACGCCGAAUUACACGGUGUUAGCCGGGUGAAAUGCUAAAAUCUGGAAGGAAACCACCCGGUGACCAAAAGGGCUGGCGUUCCCUGGACCAACCCNUGAGACCUGGUUUAAACNGAAAAGNCCGGGGAACGCACCGGGCUUUGAACCGGGGAGUCCCUAGGCCCUAACCAGAAUGCUUGGUNGGCGAGUACGACCUGCCGGGCCGAAGACACGCUAUAGUUUCGUUUGAAUCGCCAGGUNCACAAGGUAAGUGNGCUACGGAUUGUAUCCGCACACCGNAUGACUNCGAUAAUCUANNANAAGUACUGGGUACGAUGAGAGGUACAGGCAUGNCAUGUCAACGAGCGCGAGAGUGGCGAUGGCAGACAUGACGGNGGUGACGCACAGGCGAGAGAGUAGCGNAGCUGCGAUGCGNCUGG
rnacentral:rRNA from 1 species